UACGAAGGGGGCGAGCGUUGUUCGGAUUUACUGGGCGUAAAGGGCGCGCAGGCGGCGCAUUUUGUCAGGCGUGAAAGCCCCGGGCUUAACCUGGGAACUGCGUUUGAUACGGAUGGGCUAGAGUUCGGGAGAGGAGAGUGGAAUUCCCAGUGUAGAGGUGAAAUUCGUAGAUAUUGGGAAGAACACCAGUGGCGAAGGCGACUUACUGGACACAUAUUGACGCUGAGGUGCGAAAGCGUGGGGAGCAAACAGG
rnacentral:rRNA from 1 species